UGGGGAAUAUUGCACAAUGGGCGCAAGCCUGAUGCAGCCAUGCCGCGUGUAUGAAGAAGGCCUUCGGGUUGUAAAGUACUUUCAGUCGGGAGGAAGGUGUCAAGGUUAAUAACCUUGGCAAUUGACGUUACCGACAGAGGAAGCACCGGCUAACUCCGUGCCAGCAGCCGCGGUAAUACGGAGGGUGCAAGCGUUAAUCGGAAUUACUGGGCGUAAAGCGCACGCAGGCGGUUGAUUGAGUCAGAUGUGAAAUCCCCGGGCUUAACCCGGGAAUUGCAUCUGAUACUGGUCAGCUAGAGUCUUGUAGAGGGGGGUAGAAUUCCAUGUGUAGCGGUGAAAUGCGUAGAGAUGUGGAGGAAUACCGGUGGCGAAGGCGGCCCCCUGGACAAAGACUGACGCUCAGGUGCGAAAGCGUGGGGAGCAAACAGG
rnacentral:rRNA from 1 species